rnacentral:rRNA from 1 species
AGUCGAGCGACAGACGAGGAGCUUGCUCCUUUGACGUUAGCGGCGGACGGGUGAGUAACACGUGGGUAACCUACCUAUAAGACUGGGAUAACUUCGGGAAACCGGAGCUAAUACCGGAUAAUAUUUCGAACCGCAUGGUUCGAUAGUGAAAGAUGGCUUUGCUAUCACUUAUAGAUGGACCUGCGCCGUAUUAGCUAGUUGGUAAGGUAACGGCUUACCAAGGCAACGAUACGUAGCCGACCUGAGAGGGUGAUCGGCCACACUGGAACUGAGACACGGUCCAGACUCCUACGGGAGGCAGCAGUAGGGAAUCUUCCGCAAUGGGCGAAAGCCUGACGGAGCAACGCCGCGUGAGUGAUGAAGGUCUUCGGAUCGUAAAACUCUGUUAUUAGGGAAGAACAAACGUGUAAGUAACUGUGCACGUCUUGACGGUACCUAAUCAGAAAGCCACGGCUAACUACGUGCCAGCAGCCGCGGUAAUACGUAGGUGGCAAGCGUUAUCCGGAAUUAUUGGGCGUAAAGCGCGCGUAGGCGGUUUUUUAAGUCUGAUGUGAAAGCCCACGGCUCAACCGUGGAGGGUCAUUGGAAACUGGAAAACUUGAGUGCAGAAGAGGAAAGUGGAAUUCCAUGUGUAGCGGUGAAAUGCGCAGAGAUAUGGAGGAACACCAGUGGCGAAGGCGACUUUCUGGUCUGUAACUGACGCUGAUGUGCGAAAGCGUGGGGAUCAAACAGGAUUAGAUACCCUGGUAGUCCACGCCGUAAACGAUGAGUGCUAAGUGUUAGGGGGUUUCCGCCCCUUA